GUGCUUGCUUCCACAGCACAUAUACUAAAAUUGAAACCAUACAAAGAAUAUUAGCACAGCCCGUGCUCAAGGAUGACACACAAAUUUGUAAAGCAUUCCAUAUUAUU
ensembl:snRNA U6 U6 spliceosomal RNA